rnacentral:rRNA from 1 species
GCGCACCAGUCGAGAAUAGUCUACAAUGGACGAAAGUCUGAUAGUGCGACGCCGUGUGUGCGAUUAAUUCCUUCGGGAUGUAAAGCACUUUUCUAUGAGAUAAAAGCUCUUUAGGUUAAUAGCUUAUUGAGACGGAUAUUAUUAUAGGAAUAAGCUCCGGCUAACUCCGUGCCAGCAGCCGCGGUAAUACGGAAGGAGCGAGCGUUGUCCGGAUUUACUAGGCGUAAAGGGCUAGUAGGCGACUAAUUAAGUUAUAUGUUAAAUCCCACGGCUCAACUGUGGUCCUGCAUGUAAUACUGGUUAGAUAGAGUACUGUAGAGGAAGGCAGAAUUCCUGGAGUAGCGGUGGAAUGCGCAGAUAUCAGGAAGAAUACCAAAAGCGAAGGCAGCCUUCUGGGCAGUUACUGACGCUGAAUAGCGAAGGUGUGGGUAGCGAACAGGAUUAGAUACCCGUGUAGU